UGGUAAUGCUGGUGAAACCACACACCUGUAUUCAUGCAGAGGUAGGGUAGCUGGACCACAGGGCUCGGCCCAGCAGGGACUUGGGUACGUGAAAGUGUCAAGAAUAACAAGGGAAAGGAGGAGAAAGUUGACAACUGAAGGACUGCGGGAUAGGAGCAUCAUUUGGCAACUUCUGAGUUUUUUUCUUAAAGGCAUCUUUUUAUUUUUAUAAUAAGGCACUAACUCUGGAUCUUUUCUCACUCACCAUUUCCUCAGCUGCCUAUUUACAAAUGGUGAUGAAGACCUGACUUUGAUCCCAGCUAACCAGAAGGGCAAGGAUAUGGGUCUAUGCUAGAGCAGGGAUCAGGAAACUAUGCCCAGAGGCCAUGCCUGACCCUGUUAUUGUACAGAACGCGAGCUAAGAGGGAUUUUUACACUUUUUAAUGGCUGGGAAAAAAAAAUUUUUAAAUCGUAUUUUGUGAGACAUGAAGCAUAUCUCGUGACAUGGGAAAAUUGAAAUUAUAUGAAAUUCAAGUUUCAGUGUUCAUAAAUAAAGUUUUACUGAAACACGA